rnacentral:tRNA from 1 species
GCGGGUGUAGCUCAAGGGUAGAGCACGCGCCUUCCAAGCCUGAGAUCCGGGUUCGAGUCCCGGUACCCGCUCCA